UACAGAGGAGGCAAGCGUUGUUCUGAAUUACUGGGCGUCACGGGCGCGUAGGCGGCCUGUUAAGUCGAACGUGAAAUCCCCGGGCUCAACCCGGGAACUGCGUCCGAUACUGGCAGGCUUGAAUCCGGGAGAGGGAUGCGGAAUUCCAGGUGUAGCGGUGAAAUGCGUAGAUAUCUGGAGGAACACCGGUGGCGAAGGCGGCAUCCUGGACCGGCAUUGACGCUGAGGCGCGAAAGCCAGGGGAGCAAACGGG
rnacentral:rRNA from 1 species